AUUGAACGCUGGCGGCAUGCCUUACACAUGCAAGUCGAACGGUAACAGGUUAAGCUGACGAGUGGCGAACGGGUGAGUAAUAUAUCGGAACGUGCCCAGUCGUGGGGGAUAACGUAGCGAAAGCUACGCUAAUACCGCAUACGAUCUACGGAUGAAGGCGGGGGAUCGCAAGACCUCGCGCGAUUGGAGCGGCCGAUAUCAGAUUAGCUAGUUGGUGAGGUAAAGGCUCACCAAGGCGACGAUCUGUAGCUGGUCUGAGAGGACGACCAGCCACACUGGAACUGAGACACGGUCCAGACUCCUGCGGGAGGCAGCAGUGGGGAAUUUUGGACAAUGGGCGCAAGCCUGAUUCAGCAAUGCCGCGUGCAGGACGAAGGCCCUCGGGUUGUAAACUGCUUUUGUACGGAGCGAAACGGUCUUCUCUAAUACAGGGGGCUAAUGACGGUACCGUAAGAAUAAGCACCGGCUAACUACGUGCCAGCCGCCGCCGUAA
rnacentral:rRNA from 1 species